UUGAACGCUGGCGGCAGGCCUAACACAUGCAAGUCGAAUGGUAACAGGAAACAGCUUGCUGUUUCGCUGAAGAGUGGCGGACGGGUGAGUAAUGUCUGGGAAACUGCCUGAUGGAGGGGGAUAACUACUGGAAACGGUAGCUAAUACCGCAUAACGUCGCAAGACCAAAGAGGGGGACCUUCGGGCCUCUUGCCAUCAGAUGUGCCCAGAUGGGAUUAGCUAGUAGGUGGGGUAACGGCUCACCUAGGCGACGAUCCCUAGCUGGUCUGAGAGGAUGACCAGCCACACUGGAACUGAGACACGGUCCAGACUCCUACGGGAGGCAGCAGUGGGGAAUAUUGCACAAUGGGCGCAAGCCUGAUGCAGCCAUGCCGCGUGUAUGAAGAAGGCCUUCGGGUUGUAAAGUACUUUCAGCGGGGAGGAAGGGAGUAAAGUUAAUACCUUUGCUCAUUGACGUUACCCGCAGAAGAAGCACCGGCUAACUCCGUG
rnacentral:rRNA from 1 species